GGGCCCGUAGCUCAGGUGGUAGAGCAACUGACUUUUAAUCAGUGGGUCGAAGGUUCGAAUCCUUCCGGGCUCACCA
rnacentral:tRNA from 6 species